ensembl:misc_RNA 7SK 7SK RNA
GAAAAUGAGGAGGAGCUGCCUGUUCCUCACUGCACUGAACAACUGUGUUGGUUCUAUGAAUCUGCCCAGCUAGAUCAGGAUCCCCUUUCUCCAUCAUCACUUCAUGCAUCUCUCCCAAAACUUGGAGCAUGUCUGAAAUGUAAGGACCUUCCUAUAUUGAGGAGGAGCCUUCUUUAAUGAAGAAUAUGAGUAGCUGUGCUCCCGGUAUAAUCCCUCAACACCAGAAAGUCAAAGGGAAGAUCUGCAGAGGAAUUUGAUGAGUUUGGUUUGGGGCAGUCAAGUUUAUUUCACAAUAUUUGAGGAACUAAUUCCUUGGUA